AUUGGUCAUUAUGAGAUACUCUCAUUGAUGGAAAGUAAUGUGUGUGAUCUGUAUUAUUUUCACUGAAAAAAAAUGUUUUUUUGGUGGAUUCCUUAUGCAGUCUGGAAAUUAAGAUGCCUAGCUUAUCCUUUAUUCCAUUAAAAACCAUUUGAAGGGCACCUGAGUGGCUCCGUCAGAGUUUAGGUUUACCUCUAUGCUCACUGUAGCAGCCUGUGGCUCAGAAAUGACCUGGACUCAACACUGUACGACUCAAGCCAUGGAAUUCAGCAGAAUCCUCAUCGUUUGGGCCAAACAGGGUACAGUUUGAAGGCAUCUGCUUCAAAAC
rnacentral:lncRNA from 1 species